CAGGCUCGAUAGGAAGGAGCGGGAGGAAGGCAAGCCCUGGCGUACGGGGACGGUAUCGGCAGAGCCACUCGGAGCAGUGCCGAGAACAUAGGGACAACUACUGUGGUGCGAAGCAGAGGCUGGAUGAGGCAGCAGUGAAGGUGGAGGGGAAGGAGCAGGCAGCACAUGCUGUGGGACAAGGAUCGUGCUGCAG